AACCUAUUAGCUCAAAUGGUAGAGCACUAAGCAGAUGCAUAGGGCAUGCUGGUUCGAUUCCUACAUAGGUUG
rnacentral:tRNA from 1 species